rnacentral:rRNA from 1 species
UACGAAGGGGGCUAGCGUUGCUCGGAAUUACUGGGCGUAAAGGGCGCGUAGGCGGACAUUUAAGUCAGGGGUGAAAUCCCAGAGCUCAACUCUGGAACUGCCUUUGAUACUGGAUGUCUUGAGUGUGAGAGAGGUAUGUGGAACUCCGAGUGUAGAGGUGAAAUUCGUAGAUAUUCGGAAGAACACCAGUGGCGAAGGCGACUCACUGGCUCAUUACUGACGCUGAGGCUCGAAAGCGUGGGGAGCAAACAGG